rnacentral:tRNA from 1 species
GAGGAUGUAGUUGAGUGGCACAGCGCCUGCCUGGCAAGUGUGAGGCCCUGAGUUCAAUUCCCGGCACCCCCC